rnacentral:rRNA from 1 species
AACCCAAACUAAUAGUUUUCGGCGUAAGGAGUGGUUAAGGUCAAAGCUAAAAAUAAAGUUAAACUUUAACUAAGCUGUAAAAAGCCCCAGUUAUUGUAAAAUAAUCUACGAAAGUGACUUUAUAAACCUGAACCCACGACAACUAAGACCCAAACUGGGAUUAGAUACCCCACUAUGCUUAGCCUUAAACCUAGGGAGUCACAUAACAAGACUCCUCGCCAGAGUACUACUGGCUAAAGCUUAAAACUCAAAGGACUUGGCGGUGCUUUAUAUCCAUCUAGAGGAGCCUGUUCUAUAAUCGAUAAACCCCGAUAAACCUCACCAGCCCUUGCCGAGU